GUGCAAAUCGAUCGUCAAAUUUNGGUAUAGGGGUACGUAAUCCCUUCUUGAUNUCCUGUAAAAUGCAAUGUACUAACAAUUCUCCCAGGCGAAAGACUAAUCGAACCAUUCAAAAGAACCGAGUNUACUGGCUUUUGUUGACAGUAACUCUACUACUAGGUGGUUAGGAGGCACCUGAAAAUGUGUGCCUAGUCCCACAGUCUGGGGCAACACUGUCAAAUUGCGGGGACUUCCUGAGAGCUCUGGCUACCGCGUCCGAGACCCAAAGGUCUCAGCGACGCACCGGGUUAAUGGCCCUGGGUAUGGUAACAACGCCGGGGAUUGGAUAAUCCGCAGCGAAGCCCUAAGGGCCCCUUAGGCGCCACGCUACGGGGGCUAUGGGUAGCGUUCACAGACUAAAUGGCAGUGGGUGAGGUCCCCGUGCAGUUGCACUCUCGACGACGCGCCAGGCCCUACAGAGAGAUCUGUAGGGCCCCCUGGUCUCGCCCGAGUCCAAACACAAGCAGGGACCCCGCCUAAGAUAUAGUCGACCCCGUGUCCGAAAGGCACGUCGGUGAGCUAAAUCUGCCCGGUAUGACAUGACCGCACGUAGGGACCCACCGGGGGGCCCCUCGCGGUGCCGGCAGACCCGAACUCACCGAGUCUAAGAGCGGCACGAUC
rnacentral:rRNA from 1 species